rnacentral:rRNA from 1 species
GAAUAUCUAAGGUUUCCUGAGGAAGGCUCGUCCGCUCAGGGUUAGUCGGGACCUAAGCCGAGGCCGAUAGGCGUAGGCGAUGGACAACAGGUAGAGAUUCCUGUACCAGUGCUAAUUGUUUAACCGAUGGGGUGACACAGAAGGAUAGGGAAUCGCACGAAUGGAAAUGUGCGUCCAAGCAGUGAGUGUGAGAAGUAGGCAAAUCCGCUUCUCGCGAAGCAUGAGCUGUGAUGGGGAAGGAAAUUAAGUACGGAAGUUCCUGAUUUCACGCUGUCAAGAAAAGCCUCUAGGAAGAGUAGUACUGCCCGUACCGCAAACCGACACAGGUAGAUGAGGAGAGAAUCCUAAGGUGAGCGAGAGAACUCUCGUUAAGGAACUCGGCAAAAUGACCCCGUAACUUCGGGAGAAGGGGUGCUCUAUUAGGGUGCAAGCCCGAGAGAGCCGCAGUGAAUAGGCCCAGGCGACUGUUUAGCAAAAACACAGGUCUCUGCAAAACCGUAAGGUGACGUAUAGGGGCUGACGCCUGCCCGGUGCUGGAAGGUUAAGAGGAGUGCUUAGCUUCGGCGAAGGUACGAAUUGAAGCCCCAGUAAACGGCGGCCGUAACUAUAACGGUCCUAAGGUAGCGAAAUUCCUUGUCGGGUAAGUUCCGACCCGCACGAAAGGCGCAA